GGGUAAGAUCCGACCUGGACAAAUGGCGUAACGAUGGCGGCGCUGGCUCCACCCGAGACUCAGUGAAAUUGAAAUCGCUGUGAAGAUGCAGUGUAUACGCGGCUAGACGGAAAGACCCCGUGAAACUUUACUAUAGCUUUGCACUGGACUUUGAAUUUGCUUGUGUAGGAUAGGUGGGAGGCUUUGAAGCGUGAACGCCAGUUUGCGUGGAGCCAUCCUUGAAAUACCCCCCUGGCAACUUUGAGGUUCUAACUCAGGUCCGUUAUCCGGAUCGAGGACA
rnacentral:rRNA from 1 species